UUACAUUGUUCAAACUGAGCUCAACUCCUGAUGCAAAAAAAAAUAAAUAAAUAUUGGGACAUAUAAAAAAAGACAACUCUGUUCUGCAGAGUAGCUAUUGACAUUAUAUUUGCUCAGGAACUUUGUUGACUCUAGAGAACCUCGGGCAAAUCGCACAUCCCCAUGGCGGCGACUUUGCAUGCGGAUGUCAUCCAUAUCAACUUUCGAUGCCAGUUUCUGCACUUACCAUGGUGACCACGGGUAACGGGAAUCAGGGUUCCAUUCCG